rnacentral:rRNA from 1 species
GCCCUAGCUUGCUAGGUGUCCUUAGUGGCGCACGGGUGAGUAACACGUGGGAACUUACCUCAGAGUACGGAAUAACUAUGGGAAACUAUAGCUAAUACCGUAUAUUCCGGAAACGGGAAAGAUUUAUCGCUCUGAGAUAGGCCCGCGCAAGAUUAGUUUGUUGGUGAGGUAAUGGCUCACCAAGGCAAUGACAGGUAGCGGGUUUGAGAGGAUGAUCCGCCACACUGGUACUGAGACACGGACCAGACUCC